GACGUCGAUAUUCGACGUCAUAAACACGAUCAACUUUGGUGUUUAUGACGUCGAUAUUCGACGUCAUAAACACGAUCAACUUUGGUGUUUAUGACGUCGAUAUUCGACGUCAUAAACACGAUCAACUUUGGUAUUUAUGACAUCGACGUUAUAAACACGAUCAACUUUGGUGUUUAUGACAUCGAUAUUCGACGUCAUCAACAAGAUUAACUUUGGUGUUUAUGACGUCGAUAUUAGACGUC